rnacentral:rRNA from 1 species
GACGAACGCUGGCGGCGUGCCUAAUACAUGCAAGUCGAGCGGACCAAAGGGAGCUUGCUCCUGGAGGUUAGCGGCGAACGGGUGAGUAACACGUGGGCAACCUGCCUGUAAGACUGGGAUAACAUCGAGAAAUCGGUGCUAAUACCGGAUAAUAAAAGAACUGCAUGGUUCUUUUUUGAAAGAUGGUUUCGGCUAUCACUUACAGAUGGGCCCGCGGCGCAUUAGCUAGUUGGUGAGGUAACGGCUCACCAAGGCGACGAUGCGUAGCCGACCUGAGAGGGUGAUCGGCCACACUGGGACUGAGACACGGCCCAGACUCCUACGGGAGGCAGCAGUAGGGAAUCUUCCGCAAUGGACGAAAGUCUGACGGAGCAACGCCGCGUGAGUGAUGAAGGUUUUCGGAUCGUAAAACUCUGUUGUUAGGGAAGAACAAGUGCCGUUCGAAAGGGCGGCGACCUUGACGGUACCUAACGAGAAAGCCACGGCUAACUACGUGCCAGCAGCCGCGGUAAAG